GGUGCAAUGAUGAGAUGAAACACCUGAACGUGUUUUAGGGCAGUGGACGUGACCGUUCGGUUUCGCCGUGAGCCCGUUUGUUAACGACUUCUCCUUCCACUGAGCACU